GCCGCUUGGUGAAAUCGGUAGAC
rnacentral:tRNA from 2 species